GCCAACCAAGUGCUUUUGACCAAAUGAAGUCCCAUGACGAGGCAGAAUUUAUCAGCACGGGCACUUGGGUGACAGGCUGCCAAGUUUGAAGUUGUUUGUUUGUUUUGGUUGUUGCUCGUGAUGCUUUGGGCUCUUUGGGAGGGGAGGAACGCAGAGGAGUGCCCGGAGGAGGAAUGUGGUGGUGUGCAGAAGUUGGGCUGCAGCCACCCGGGGUAGUGGGCUGUGCAGAAGGGACUCCAGAUGCAAGCUAAGGACCAGUGCAGGCUGCCUAUGCCUGGAGGAACAUGAUCUCCUGAAGGCAUUCUUCCAUCAUCCCACCAAGCCCACAGCCAGCAAACGCAAAGAAGAGAUCACCGACCUUCAUGCAGCUCUGCUCCAUUCCUCCAACACAGGACAGGUAACCACAACUGAGGCUGUUCUUUGCUCUCCCCUCAUUAGGCACUGAUUUACCACCUGUUUCCUAUCUCUGUUACCAGCAGCUGUCUCCUCCAGCAUCCCUUCAGCUGAGCUGAGUUCUUGUAAAGUUUUGCUGGUACUUCAGUCAGCUCCUUCUGCUCCCCCACGCUCACAGCUCUGCCAGCACAGCUCUCAUGUUCUGCACACACAGCAGAGCUCCCAGCCAGUGCCCUCUACGCGCCUUCGGCAGCAGAGCUGAGUCACCAUCAGUCUCUGUGUGGCUUUUCUGCCAAAUUAUUUCAUGUUAAAGCCUUAAAUUUGCUAUCUGAGACAAGGCAAGUCACCAAGAGCAAAGCUCCUAGAACCUCUGCCCACAUUUGGGUUUUAUUAGUGCUGCAGCCAUGCACACAAAUGGCUUUAAUUUCUCAAGAAUCCUCCUCAGUGGAACAAUCUAGAUGCAGAAAACCAAAGUAAAAGAGUCCCUCUGCCUCUAUGCAGUGUGGGAAGUGCCUUGGAAUGCACGUUAUUUCUAGAACAAGCACACCAGACCAUUCCUCACUUGUUGAUGAAGAAAACGGGAGGUGAGGCUGAUGAGCAGAGCUGGAAGGAGGUGUGCAGCACCUCUGAACUUGUUGGCCUCCACACUGUUGUCCUCUGUAUAUGAAUGCACAAGGAAGUAAUGGGGAGCAGAAGCUCCGUUUUGCCUUGUGCCUGGAGCUGGUCCCUGUCCUUUUUGGGCACCCACCAGAGCUGCUCAGACCCUCUAUUAAUGCUGAGCAGAGGCAGUCCUCAGCACCGCUGUGUGGCAGCAAGCAGAGCCAAACCCAAAGCCUGUCUGCUGGAGGGGAAGGUGGGAUUAAGGCCAAGAAUGAGUGCACUUUGAACAAGAACACACAAACCUCCUUAGAUACGUUUCUGAGCCAGGCAUCAGAGGCUCCAGAACAGCAGGGUGGUUGCAGCCCAAGCCCUGGAGCCCAGCCGUGCUCAUCUUUCAAGCUGUGUCCCACUCUGACCUCAGCGGUGCAUCCCCACUGCCGGGACUGCUCUCUGCUUCCUCAGCCACUUCCACCCUCAGGUAGCCGCGCUGCCGUUUUGGUCUGAUUGCAACAUCCCAGAGCGAAUAAAUGGCAACGAGAGCUCUCCGCAGGGCGAGCAGUGCUGUCUGAGCAUGGGAGAGCCCCGCGGUGUGCGAAAACACAUCUGAGUGGCUCUACUUCCUAUUUCCUUUUCCGCAGGACCGAAAAUAAUCACUGCAAAGGUCGCAGGGCCUGGGGCAGCAGCAGCAGGACGGCAGCGGAGCGGUGAUGGUGAGAGCCAGCAUUGCUCAGCCGCUGUGACCGUCUGAGCAGUUUUCUGGCGGUCUGCAACUCACAGCUUUUGCAGGGCGUCUGAGAUACACAGUGGUGAUUGUGGUGUUUUUCUUUAAGAUGAAGGGCUGGGGGGAGCACGGGGUCUGAUCGGAGGGAGGUGGGCAGAGGGCUCCGGAUGGGGGGGACAGGGAUUGUUCCCAUGGCCGGGCCCUGCUGGUACCACGGUGUGAGCGCCUUGCUCGAUCUUGUGUUGCUUGCAGGCAGAGAAAAUGGAACUGUUUUGCAGAAAUGCCCAUUCAAAGACAAAGCACAAUAGGAAUACUGAAGAUCUGUUUUUAAAUAGUGAAAUUAGGUCAUGGUCCAAGGCUCAGAAAUCCUUAGCAAGCAGCCAGUGAUCAGGGCCCAAAGGCAACAAAAGUCAAUAGUAGGAAAUGGGAACUGAAGCAAUAUCUGCUGAUGGGAAAAGAGAAGUGGCCGCAAUGUUUCUCAGAGGGUUUCACCUCCGUGCACUUCUCUUCGUGCACAAUACUCCUUACAUCAAGUGGGAAAGAGAGCAAUCGGAGUCAGAUGUCUGACUGCUGAGGGCAUGGAGGGGACAAGGAAAGGCAUUGUGCAGUGACUGACUGAGGUGGCACCUCACGUGUAAGGUAUCAUCUUCCUUCAUGCAAAAAAGUGCAGUAGGAAAGCAACCCAUCUGCUGCGGUCUGUUCUGCUGGCAGACCUGACCUGUUUCCUACCCACGGGAGAAAAUAUGGAAAACCAAAGGAUCUGUCCCUUGUGUUGGGUUUUAGGACUACUUUUGGUGCGGUGAAUUGAGCUCUGUGGAAGCAAGACACAUCGGUGCAGCAGGCUGGCAGCAGGCACAGCCGUGUGCGUCAGGGUUGGACCUCCUGGACUGCCUCCCUCUAAUGAUGGUUUGUUUUAGAGCAGCCAGGUUGAGUGCAGGGCAGUGUUUGUAUAUCUGCCUUCUUGUGUUUACACACAGAUCAAGCACACAAGUACACCCCAGCACCACAACAACCCAUCUGCAGCGAGCAUGCAGGCACCACCAGGGCUGUACCCAGGGGAACCCUGGGCUUGGGUUAAUUGCUAUAGUAACUGCCAAACCAGAGCCUCCCACCUCUUCCUACGGCAGCACUCGGUGACUUACAUUGCCCCACAUUGUGCACUGAGGCUGCUCUGCAGCACCUCCUCAUUUGUACGCUCACCCAUCCGUUCCCCAUCUCACCUUGUGGCAGUGAAGUUGAACGAGGAUGAAGCCAAACCUCUCCGUUAGAGGAGGCAAAACCUACUUAUAUCCCUCAAACCCCGGGUUAGCGCCCACUCCCACCUCAUUGAACACAGCAGCAGCAGCGGGGCGGCUGGGAGCUGCAUCCCCAUCCCAACCCCCUGGGCAGGAUGGAGCCUUCAGCCGCAGUGCUGCCGUUCAGUGCCUGCUAUCACUCAUACAGAAACAGCGCCUGCAGAGCGCCGUGCGAGGGCCGACCUGGCGCUCACCCCCGAGCAGCCUGGGAAACGCCGACCACAAACGCGCACUGAAUGCAUCCAAAGCCACAAGCUGCUGCUUUUUUUUUUUUUUUUUUCUCUUUUCUUCUUUUUCUUUUUUAGCUCGUGAGCUGUGACACUUUUUAUGAAGGCCCUUGUAAUGUAACAGGGAAGAAGAACCGAAAAUUCCCGAGGUGCAUUUUAUGCGGUGCGAAAUAUUAUCUCCUCCAGGUUCAUCUCUUGAAAGCUGCCCUUUGCUGCGCUCUGGUUUGAUGGAUAAUGACAAACAUGAACAAAUCUGCUGUGUGUAAGGAGGAGAGGAGGAUCCUGCCAAGGAGACCUCUCCAGAGACCUUUUAUUUUUACCCAAACCUCUUUCUUUUUAAAGUUUUUAGCACUUCGAACUGAAAUUUCAGUACAGCAGCAGAUGUUACUUAUCAAAUCCCUUCUAAAUAUUCUCUGUUCUACAGCAAACUGUAUUUUGAGAUGACAAAUAUGACCUUACAAGGAGCUGGGCAGCUAACUGAGGACCCACUGCCUUGCUGGGGUGAGCCUGGCCUUUAAAGCCCCAUGGUAAGCAAGGCAGCACCUGCUCCUGUUCCUAGAUGCGUCCUGUUCCUGAUGUCCCCAUCCCCCAGCUGGAAGCAGGGAAACUCAGCCAGGUCCCAAGGCCACAGCUCAGGCUCCAUCCCCCAGUGCAGAGCCCCCCACUGCUCAGCCCGGCAGCAGGACGGUCACUGUGGCUGUUGGCACUGUGAGUGCAUUCCAAAACCAACUUCUAAUACACCAGGUGCUUCCAUGAACGCAAAACUCCUGCUGCAGGGAACGGUUGGACUGGGAUGAGUUAGUCCAGCAUGGGUUGCGUGGAUGAAGCUCUCGCUGAAGGCUCACGCUUGGCACAUUUGGGGGGCUGAAAUCUGGAGGCUGAAAUCCAGCUCAGGUUGCCAAGGCCCCAUCCAACCUGGCCUGCCUUGGCUGUGGUCAUCAGGAGACCCACAGCCACCAGCAUCCCCGGCGACCUCACACAUCUCAUCCAGGUAUGGAGCAAUCCAGCAGUCUUCAGUCACCAGCUACCUCCAGGGCCACUGUUCCUGUGGGCCCUUUGGUCACUGUGGAUGUGGAGCUGCCACGGGACCCCAGAAUCAACUGCUGCAUCCCCGUGGUGAGGGGUGUCCUGGUGGGACCUCACCCUGUGCAUCUCCUGGGUAUGACCACGUGCUGUAAGGGAAGGGACAGUGUUAACACAUUGAGUGUUUUU
ensembl:lncRNA